GAAGGUGGGAACAGAGGAGGUCCGGCCGUGGAACAGGGGACCGGGGUGGCCCAGCCUUAGCUGUCAACCGACCGGCUAGUCCGGCAAGAACGCCAGCGUCUUGGUCGACGAGGAGGAUGGAGGGAUGAGGACCAGAGACAGAAAGGAAGAGGAGUGGCUACCCGGGGCCGGGACACUGGUCCGGCGUCUGUGGCUCCUGGCGACGCGGCGGAGGGCAGAGACUUCGGUCGCAGAGGAGGAGAAACAGAGGAAGGGAGAGGGUGGCGGUCGGCUCUGACCUCGAGCGUUCGGCUGCUAAUCCGGCGCGGUCAGGGCGGCCGGCACACCAACGAAGAGUGGAGGAUGGGGGGUAUCCGGCGCUGUGGCAGUGGACCGGAAGGAGGAAGAGGAGGGAUGGCGACGACGGAGCAGGAGAGUUGGGUUGGGCUUCAACGCCGUCGCUCAGGUGACCCAGCCAGUCCGGUCCAAAUGGACCGGCCGGUUCACCAUGAUUUGUCCCUCUAAAGAACCUAGCUUCAUGAACAAUAAACCACUUCAAAAAGCUUUACCAUCCUUGUUUCUCUUAUCCGCCUAAGGGCUAAUGGAAAACAGCUGCCUUCAUAUAAAUCCUUCUUCCUUUGUUUUCAGAAGAAGCUGCCUUCAUAGUUCCUGCGUUUGGCCAGGAGUUCAAUAUGCUAUAUGAGAACAUAGUCGAAGUGCAUGAAUCUGUCUUUUCCACUCUUUUGCAGUCAGUAAGUAUGGGAGAGUAAAUUGAAUGCACUUAACAUCGAGUUUGAACCAGCUUUCAUGCGAAUAGAGGAAAUAGUUAAUAUGUUUUGAUCCUAAGAAUUUUCAA
rnacentral:lncRNA from 1 species